UACGAAGGGUGCAAACGUUGCUCGGAAUUAUUGGGCGUAAAGCGCACGUAGGCGGCUAUCUAAGUCGGAUGUGAAAUCCCUCGGCUUAACCAAGGAAGUGCACCCGAAACUGGAUAGCUUGAGUACAGAAGAGGAUCGCGGAAUUCCGGUGUAGAGGUGAAAUUCGUAGAUAUCGGGAGGAACACCAGUGGCGAAGGCGGCGAUCUGGGCUGAUACUGACGCUGAGGUGCGAAAGCGUGGGGGAGCAAACAGG
rnacentral:rRNA from 1 species